GAUGAACGCUGGCGGCGUGCCUAAUACAUGCAAGUCGAGCGAACAGACGAGGAGCUUGCUCCUCUGACGUUAGCGGCGGACGGGUGAGUAACACGUGGAUAACCUACCUAUAAGACUGGGAUAACUUCGGGAAACCGGGGCUAAUACCGGAUAAUAUAUUGAACCGCAUGGUUCAAUAGUGAAAGACGGUUAUGCUGUCACUUAUAGAUGGAUCCGCGCCGCAUUAGCUAGUUGGUAAGGUAACGGCUUACCAAGGCAACGAUGCGUAGCCGACCUGAGAGGGUGAUCGGCCACACUGGAACUGAGACACGGUCCAGACUCCUACGGGAGGCAGCAGUAGGGAAUCUUCCGCAAUGGGCGAAAGCUUGACGGAGCAACGCCGCGUGAGUGAUGAAGGUCUUCGGAUCGUAAAACUCUGUUAUUAGGGAAGAACAAAUGUGUAAGUAACUAUGCACGUCUUGACGGUACCUAAUCAGAAAGCCACGGCUAACUACGUG
rnacentral:rRNA from 1 species